CUACGGGGCGCACCAGUCGCGGAACUUUUACAAUGCACGCAAGUGUGAUAAAGCGAACCAAAGUGCUUAUCAUUUAGAUAAGCUUUUUCUCUACGUAAAAACUAGGGAGAAUAAGGACUGGGAAAGACUGGUGCCAGCCGCCGCGGUAAUACCAGCAGUUCAAGUUGCAUCCAUUUUUAUUGGGUCUAAAACAUCCGUAGCUUGGUGCUUAAGUCUCUUGUGAAAUCUCACGUCUCAAGCGUGGUGAAGUGCAGGAGAUACUGAGUACCUAGAGAUCGGUAGACGUAAGCAGUACGGGACGGGUAACGGUCAAAUGUGUUAAUCCGUCUUGGACUAACAAUCAGCGAAGGCAGCUUACGAGGACGAAUCUGACAGUGGGGGAUGAAGGCCAGGGGCGCAAAACGGAUUAGAUACCCUCGUAGUC
rnacentral:rRNA from 1 species